rnacentral:rRNA from 1 species
UAGGGAAUCUUCCACAAUGGACGCAAGUCUGAUGGAGCAACGCCGCGUGAGUGAAGAAGGUCUUCGGAUCGUAAAGCUCUGUUGUUGGUGAAGAAGGAUAGAGGCAGUAACUGGUCUUUAUUUGACGGUAAUCAACCAGAAAGUCACGGCUAACUACGUGCCAGCAGCCGCGGUAAUACGUAGGUGGCAAGCGUUGUCCGGAUUUAUUGGGCGUAAAGCGAGCGCAGGCGGAAUGAUAAGUCUGAUGUGAAAGCCCACGGCUCAACCGUGGAACUGCAUCGGAAACUGUCAUUCUUGAGUGCAGAAGAGGAGAGUGGAACUCCAUGUGUAGCGGUGGAAUGCGUAGAUAUAUGGAAGAACACCAGUGGCGAAGGCGGCUCUCUGGUCUGCAACUGACGCUGAGGCUCGAAAGCAUGGGUAGCGAACAGGAUUAGAUACCCUGGUAGUCCAUGCCGUAAACGAUGAGCGCUAGGUGUUGGGGACUUUCCGGUCCUCAGUGCCGCAGCAAACGCAUUAAGCGCUCCGCCUGGGGAGUACGACGCAAGGUUGAAAC